rnacentral:rRNA from 1 species
AUUGAACGCUGGCGGCAGGCCUAACACAUGCAAGUCGAGCGGAUGAAGGGAGCUUGCUCCUGGAUUCAGCGGCGGACGGGUGAGUAAUGCCUAGGAAUCUGCCUGGUAGUGGGGGAUAACGUCCGGAAACGGGCGCUAAUACCGCAUACGUCCUGAGGGAGAAAGUGGGGGAUCUUCGGACCUCACGCUAUCAGAUGAGCCUAGGUCGGAUUAGCUAGUUGGUGGGGUAAAGGCCUACCAAGGCGACGAUCCGUAACUGGUCUGAGAGGAUGAUCAGUCACACUGGAACUGAGACACGGUCCAGAUUCCUACGGGAGGCAGCAGUGGGGAAUAUUGGACAAUGGGCGAAAGCCUGAUCCAGCCAUGCCGCGUGUGUGAAGAAGGUCUUCGGAUUGUAAAGCACUUUAAGUUGGGAGGAAGGGCAGUAAGUUAAUACCUUGCUGUUUGGACGUUACCAACAGAAUAAGCACCGGCUAACUUCGU